rnacentral:lncRNA from 1 species
AAGGGUCACUGGAACCAUGAAGUGGCAGGGAGCCCUAGAGUGGACACUGGGCAGUCAUGAGUUGGUGUCCAUAUAAAGGCCAGAGCCUCAGUUUCUUCAUCUGUAAGAAAGAGAUGAGAUUAUCUGCCUCUGGAGAAGGGAUGUCACUGGAACAGAACCCAUUUGUAUGUUCAGAGAGAUACACCCAGCAACAUUUGCACAAGGCUUUGUUUAUCCAGCUACAAUCCAGGCUCAUGGCUAUUCUCCUCCAAUAUGACCCAGUUAUACAGCUGUGACACACGAGGCAUACACCCAGUGGAGAGCUGGAACUGGCUUAACACAGAUUGUUGCGUUUUCAGGAAUUUUGCAACCUGGUGGUUAAACACAGCAAUUGUUUCAAAAAACUACAUUAUCUGCUUACAAUAAAUAAAUUAUAUUAAAAACAAAGGUAAGGAAUCCUCCAAAAUAAUCACUUCC